GAUGAACGCUAGCGGCAGGCCUAAUACAUGCAAGUCGGACGGGAUAGAGGAGCUUGCUUCUCUUGAGAGUGGCGCACGGGUGCGUAACACGUAUGUAACCUACCUUAGUCAGGGGAUAGCCUCUCGAAAGAGAGAUUAAGACCGCAUAACAUCAUUUUGUGGCAUCGCAGGAUGAUCAAAUAUUUAUAGGACUAAGAUGGGCAUGCGCAACAUUAGCUAGUUGGUGUGGUAACGGCCCACCAAGACGAUGAUCAGUAGGGGAACUGAGAGUUGAUCCCCUAAACAUCGUAGCCUUGGUAU
rnacentral:rRNA from 1 species